GAUGAAGAACGCAGCGAAAUGCGAUAAGUAGUGUGAAUUGCAGAAUUCAGUGAAUCAUCGAAUCUUUGAACGCACAUUGCGCCCUUUGGUAUUCCAAAGGGCAUGCCUGUUCGAGCGUCAUUUGUACCCUCAAGCUUUGCUUGGUGUUGGGCGUCUUGUCUCUAGCUUUGCUGGAGACUCGCCUUAAAGUAAUUGGCAGCCGGCCUACUGGUUUCGGAGCGCAGCACAAGUCGCACUCUCUAUAAGCAAAGGUCUAGCAUCCAUUAAGCCUUUUUUUCAACUUUUGACCUCGGAUCAGGUAGGGAUACCCGCUGAACUUAAGCAUAUCAAUAAGCGGAGGA
rnacentral:misc_RNA from 1 species